GCCUACGGGGCGCAGCAGUGAGGAAUAUUGGUCAAUGGGGGCAACCCUGAACCAGCCAUGCCGCGUGAAGGAAGACGGUUCUAAGAAUUGUAAACUUCUUUUGUACGGGGGUAAAGACAGAUACGUGUAUUUGUUUGAAAGUACUGUACGAAUAAGCAUCGGCUAACUCCGUGCCAGCAGCCGCGGUAAUACGGAGGAUGCGAGCGUUAUCCGGAUUUAUUGGGUUUAAAGGGUGCGUAGGCGGAUUUAUAAGUCAGCGGUGAAAGACUGUCGCUCAACGAUAGCAUUGCCAUUGAUACUGUAGAUCUUGAGUACAUUUGAGGUAGGCGGAAUGUGUAGUGUAGCGGUGAAAUGCUUAGAUAUUACACAGAACACCAAUUGCGAAGGCAGCUUACUAAACUGUAACUGACGCUGAGGCACGAAAGCGUGGGGAUCAAACAGGAUUAGAUACCCCGGUAGC
rnacentral:rRNA from 1 species